AUAUAUAUAUAUAUAUACACAUACAUACAUACAAAUACAUUUAUAAAAUGAGAGUUGCCUCUAGCGGCAGCUACAUAUAUAUUAAAACAUGCAUCACCAAGCGUAACGACACUGCACUAUUAGAGACAUCAGUUUUAAUAGGAAUCCUCAGAUUUGCAGGAGGUGAAUACCAGAGUUUGCAGAUUGACCUACAGUAUCUGUCUGUGAGACAUGAGGGAGAGAACACCCCUAUGUUAUGCUUACUAGGGGAGCAGAGCUGAGUGUUAUCAGCAAUGUUCUCACCAUCCUCCUUCUACUGUUCUGUCUUCUGGGAGAAUAAUGUGCCUUGAGAAGAACUUUCAGAAAACUUCACCUGGAUGACUGAGAAUCUUCACAGACAUAUUAUGCUUAAAUUAAAAAAGAAUGAUUUUGGAUCAUUUAUUACCAUCAAGCAUUCUUAAAAAUUUGAUGCGUUUUUACUUACCAAAAUGAAAACUAAGACAAAUAUACUGUAUGCAAAGAGUGUGAUUUGAACUGAGGACAAGAUAUUUUCAGGACCCAUUUAGACUUUAACCCUCUUAUUACAGUAUGUUGCAGGUCAAAUUGACUUACGUGUUUUUAAAAAAUUAAACAAAUAGUUAAAAGCAUUUUUCCCCACUUAAAACUUCCUCAACAUGUAAAAUAAAAUUGGUGAACAUCACAUAUUUGCAACCCUCCCUACAGUCGUAGGGUUAGAGUACUGUAGGGUUAAAUGUCAUAUACUGUUGGACUUUUUUGUUUGCAGCUGUGAGACAUAUUUAAGUCUCACACUCUCCUAUAUUGUCUUGACAUCAUCUAUAAUGUGCAAAAAUGCAGUUUUGUUAUGACUUUUGAUUGGACCAACAUAACCUGUAACAAUUUUUUCACAAACUACAACCUGGGUGUUAUGCGAGACACAGAGGAGGAAGCCAGAGUGAAAGCAAACAGUGAUUUUUUGCGAAAACACGGAAGUAGAGUAAUCCGGUGGUGCGCGGAAAAGCGCGGCCCACAAAGGUCCAGAGUUAAGACGGCAGUCUGUGUAUUCCGGUGGUGCGCGGUGGAAGUGCGGUGUACUAACCAGGGAAGCGCUUGGGAGAAGCACGAAGCUGAACAUGAACACAGGAGUGUCGAGGAAUGAGCAGCCAAACCAUGGAUAAUAACUGACGGUGAGUGGGAGUGAGAGAGGGGAUUAUAUAUGGUGGUUGAUGAGAGUGAAAUGAGAGUCAGGUGAGAGCAAUCAGUAAGCAGGCGAGCCGCUCCGUGCGGGCGGGGCACACACGGGAGAAGAGUCAGAGAGCUCCCUGACACUGGGCCAGGAGCUUCUAAAGAGAAAUUUCAUGUUUGUUUUCACAUACUGUUCAGAACAGCCAGUAACAACUUACUAACAACAACUGUCUUACUGCCCCAACAAGGGAAAAACUCUAUUCUCAUGAUCACUUUUCACAAAAAUGCUGAAAGCAGCACAUGUGAGAACCAGAAACUGAGCUUUGUUGGAUGGAGAUGUUUCCUACUGUAAGUGCAACGUGUCAAAGUGGUACAAGAGGCACAUCUUCUCUAAGGAGCUGGGGAAGACACAUGUGAUACCACAUGUACAUGGAACAUGUACCAAGGACCCAGCAGCUGUACAGUGAGGGAUUCAGGACAGGAUGUCACCUUGUGCGCCAGCAUGCCAGUUAAGCGUCUCUGAGCAUGUGUACAUUUUGUUGUUACUGGGGAUAAAGAAAUUGGAAGAAGCAGACAGGUCUGCAGCCAUCUGAUGAUGGAAAGACUAACAUGUGAACCACAUCACAGUGUGGUCUGUACAAAUGACCAUUCACAGGGACCACACUGUGAUACCAUGUCCCUACUGUGUAGAUGCCCACAUAUUAGGGGUGUGCAAAGCAGACGUUAUUUGUAUCUGUAUUUGUAUUUGUUGAGGGGGGAAAAGCAUUUGUAUUUGUAUUCGUAUUCGAAUAAAAUUCAAAAUAGGCAUAAAAAUCCAUUUUUUUUGCAUCACACCUCUAAUUUACAUCAUAGUGUAAGUAUUCUUUAAUUAUAUUCAUUAUAAUAAUUAUGGAUAUGCAAUAUUGGUUGAUGUUUUUGAACACGUAACAAGGAACGUCAUUGAAAAGAAAAUAACAUAACAGCCAUUACCUCAUCCAUGGUUAAACAAACAACUAAUAAUAUACCAUUGUGAACAUUAUGAACCCCACCACCCCUCUUUGUUGGAGGAUGCUGAACAGACAGAAUAAAAACAAAUAAUAUUUCAAAGAA